CAGUCGCCGCGGUAAUACGAAGGGGGCUAGCGUUGUUCGGAUUUACUGGGCGUAAAGGGCGCGUAGGCGGACUGAUAAGUCAGGGGUGAAAUCCCAAGGCUCAACCUUGGAACUGCCUUUGAUACUGUUUGUCUUGAGUUCGAGAGAGGUAAGUGGAACUGCGAGUGUAGAGGUGAAAUUCGUAGAUAUUCGCAAGAACACCAGUGGCGAAGGCGGCUUACUGGCUCGAAACUGACGCUGAGGCGCGAAAGCGUGGGGAGCAAACAGGAUUAGAUACCCCGGUAGUCCCUGUCUCUUAUAU
rnacentral:rRNA from 1 species